UCACAGACUACACACGUUCAAGCAAGAUGCUAUGUAUAACAUUGUGAGAAAAUGGAAAUUAAAACUCACUGAUCGGAGUUUGUCCGACGUGUCUUCGACGGUGGCGAUUAGAAGCGGAAAGCCAGAGAUGUUUGCUUCCAAAUUCAGUGAUGAUGUGAUGAAGGUUGCUGCGAUGAAAAAAAAUAGUGGUGAUGUUGUUUGAAUUGACUGAAGCAU